AGAGUUUGAUCCUGGCUCAGAACGAACGCUGGCGGCGCGUCUUAAGCAUGCAAGUCGAACGGCAAGGCAGGUGCUUGCACCUGCCCUAGAGUGGCGGACUGGUGAGUAACACGUGGGUGACAUGCCUUUUAGUUGGGGAUAGCUACUAGAAAUAGUAGAUAAUACCGAAUGUGAUCAAUAUUUAUAGAUGAUGUUGAGGAAAGGAGCUAAGGCUUCGCUAAAAGAUUGGCCCGCGGCCCAUUAGCUAGUUGGUAAGGUAAAGGCUUACCAAGGCGAUGAUGGGUAUCCGGCCUGAGAGGGUGAUCGGACACAUUGGGACUGAGAUACGGCCCAGACUCCUACGGGAGGCAGCAGCUAAGAAUAUUCCACAAUGGACGCAAGUCUGAUGGAGCGACGCCGCGUGGAUGAUGAAGGCCGAAAGGUUGUAAAAUCCUUUUACACUGGAGGAAUAAGCAGAGUAGGGAAUGACUCUGUGAUGACUGUACAGUUUGAAUAAGCAACGGCUAAUUACGUGCCAGCAGCCGCGGUAACACGUAAGUUGCGAGCGUUGUUCGGAAUUAUUGGGCGUAAAGGGCAUGUAGGCGGAUUUGCAAGCUUGAUGUGAAAUCCCGCAGCUUAACUGCGGAACUGCAUUGGGAACUGCAAGACUAGAGUUACUGAGGGGAAACUAGAAUUCCAAGUGUAGGGGUGAAAUCUGUAGAUAUUUGGAAGAAUACCAAUGGCGAAGGCAAGUUUCUGGCAGAUAACUGACGCUGAGGUGCGAAGGUGCGGGGAGCAAACAGGAUUAGAUACCCUGGUAGUCCGCACA
rnacentral:rRNA from 1 species